AGAGCGAACGCUGGCGGCAUGCUUAACACAUGCAAGUCGCACGGGCAGGGGAAACCCUGUCAGUGGCGGACGGGUGAGUAACGCGUAGGAAUCUAUCUCUGGGUGGGGGACAACCGUGGGAAACUACGGCUAAUACCGCAUGACACCUGAGGGUCAAAGGCGCAAGUCGCCUGGGGAGGAGCCUGCGUACGAUUAGCUUGUUGGUGGGGUAAAGGCCUACCAAGGCGACGAUCGUUAGCUGGUCUGAGAGGAUGAUCAGCCACAUUGGGACUGAGACACGGCCCAAACUCCUACGGGAGGCAGCAGUGGGGAAUAUUGGACAAUGGGCGAAAGCCUGAUCCAGCAAUGCCGCGUGGGUGAAGAAGGUCUUCGGAUUGUAAAGCCCUUUCGACGGGGACGAUGAUGACGGUACCCGUAGAAGAAGCCCCGGCUAACUUCGUGCCAGCAGCCGC
rnacentral:rRNA from 1 species